GGGCGAUUAGCUCAGCCGGUAGAGCAGCUGACUCUUAAUCAGCGGGUCGCAGGUUCGAUUCCUGCAUCGCCCA
rnacentral:tRNA from 2 species